rnacentral:rRNA from 1 species
GAUGAACGCUAGCGGCAGGCUUAAUACAUGCAAGUCGAACGGGAAUUGGGUAGCAAUACCUGAUGAUAGUGGCGCACGGGUGCGUAACGCGUAUGCAACCUACCUUUAACAGGGGGAUAGCCCGGAGAAAUUCGGAUUAAUACCCCAUAGUAUUAUGGAGAGGCAUCUUUCAUGAUUAAAGUUCCGGCGGUUAAAGAUGGGCAUGCGUGCCAUUAGCUAGUUGGUGAGGUAACGGCUCACCAAGGCGACGAUGGUUAGGGGUCCUGAGAGGGUUAUCCCCCACACUGGUACUGAGACACGGACCAGACUCCUACGGGAGGCAGCAGUAAGGAAUAUUGGUCAAUGGGCGGAAGCCUGAACCAGCCAUGCCGCGUGCAGGAAGACGGCCUUAUGGGUUGUAAACUGCUUUUGUCAGGGAAUAAACCCUCGUUUGCGAACGAGGCUGAAGGUACCUGAAGAAUAAGCAUCGGCUAACUCCGUGCCAGCAACCGCGGUAAUACGUAGCGUG